AACGAACGCUGGCGGCAGGCUUAACACAUGCAAGUCGAGCGCCCCGCAAGGGGAGCGGCAGACGGGUGAGUAACGCGUGGGAACGUACCUUUUGGUUCGGAACAACUCCGGGAAACUGGAGCUAAUACCGGAUAAGCCCUAACGGGGAAAGAUUUAUCGCCGAAAGAUCGGCCCGCGUCUGAUUAGCUAGUUGGUGAGGUAACGGCUCACCAAGGGGACGAUCAGUAGCUGGUCUGAGAGGAUGAUCAGACACACUGGGACUGAGACACGGCCCAGACUCCUACGGGAGGGAGCAGUGGGGAAUAUUGGACAAUGGGCGCAAGCCUGAUCCAGCCAUGCCGCGUGAGUGAUUAAGGCCUUAGGGUUGUAAAGCUCUUUUGUCCGGGAAGAUAAUGACUGUACCGGAAGAAUAAGCCCCGGCUAACUUCGUG
rnacentral:rRNA from 1 species